GGGGGCGAAAGGUCUCGACAGGGGUCAUGAUCGCCGGACGGAUGCAUGCCGGGCUUACUCUAUGCAGCUCGUUAAAAAGCAGUGAGAAAACCAACUGCCAAUAAUCAAGAAUUGGCCCUUGCUGCCUAAUUAACCUUAGGUUGACGCAAGCGUUUCACCGCAAGUUGCUCAAGCGCGCGGAUUGAAAUGUCACUCAGUUGAGCUGGCCUGCCGUCCGUGCUCAGGGGCGGUGGGCGAGAAAAAUCUGGGCUAGACACCGGCGGGGUCUUCGACGAUUCACUGACCUGCCGGAGUCGAACGCGCCCGAGCAAGACGGGUAGCAGAGAAGCGUCUAAGCAUGUAGAUUCCGACGGCGUCGGCCUUUGGACCCGAGUUCGAUUCUCGGCGCCUCCAUUC
rnacentral:tmRNA from 1 species